rnacentral:lncRNA from 1 species
AUACUUCGUGAAACGGCAAAACAGUUGCUGCACUAAUGAAGAGACCCAAGAUUAAACCCAAACCCGAGACUAAGUGCUUCUGUAAUGAGGGUAACAGUCACUGAGGCGGAGCAACUCUAGAUACUUGAUAAGAAGGCUGGCAAAAGUCGAAAGAAGUAUAUUUGAUAUACAUGAUGUUGAUGUGUACUUUACUAGUACUCCUAGUAGCAUGAGGGUAUUGGAUACCGGUUCGGUUGCUGAGUGAUUAGUAACACGGAAUGAUAGCUACGACGUAAACGGAGACUAGCUAAAAGCGAGGUGACGAUACGUGUUGGAAGUGUUUCCAAGAUUGAUAUGAU